GGAGGAUUUAGCUCAGUAACAGAGCAUUCGACUGCACAUCGAGAGGUCCCAGGUUCAAUCCCGGGUGUCCCUCCUUCA